rnacentral:tRNA from 1 species
GGGCCGGUAGUUUAGCCUGGUAGAAUGUUAGCGGGUGAUUAGUUCCCUGCUAACAUGCCACAAAUGCCUCCUUGGCAUGGAGGAGGUCUCGAGUUCAAAUCUCGACCGGUCCACCA